AACACCUCAGCAGUGCCACAGGCUGAUAGCAUCCAUGCCACGCCGCAUUGAGGCAGUAAUUGAUGCAAAAGGGACCCAAACCAAGUACUGAGUACAUAUGCAUGCUUCUACUUCUCAGAGGUCCAAUAUUGCUCUAUUUGCAGUCCUUGUUUUGCUGAUUUCAUUUAAUAUUCUAAUUUUCUGAGAUUGUUAAUUUGGGGUUUUCAUCAGCUGUACGCCAUGAUCAUCACAAUUAUAACAAAUAAAGGCUUGACAUAUCUCGCUUUGCAUGUCAUGAGUCUAUCUCAUAUAUUAGUUUCACCUUUUAAGUUGAAUUACUGAAAUAAAUGAACUUUUCC